UUGCACGCUGGCGGCAGGCCUCACCCAUGCAAGUCGCGCGGAUGAAGGGAGCUUGCUCCUGGAUUCAGCGGCGGACGGGUGAGUAAUGCCUAGGAAUCUGCCUGGUAGUGGGGGAUAACGUCCGGAAACGGGCGCUAAUACCGCAUACGUCCUGAGGGAGAAAGUGGGGGAUCUUCGGACCUCACGCUAUCAGAUGAGCCUAGGUCGGAUUAGCUAGUUGGUGGGGUAAAGGCCUAUCAAGGCGACGAUCCGUAACUGGUCUGAGAGGAUGAUCAGUCACACUGGAACUGAGACACGGUCCAGACUCCUACGGGAGGCAGCAGUGGGGAAUAUUGGACAAUGGGCGAAAGCCUGAUCCAGCCAUGCCGCGUGUGUGAAGAAGGUCUUCGGAUUGUAAAGCACUUUAAGUUGGGAGGAAGGGCAGUAAGUUAAUACCUUGCUGUUUUGACGUUACCAACAGAAUAAGCACCGGCUAACUUCGUG
rnacentral:rRNA from 1 species